GACGUAGGAGGCGAGCGUUGUCCGGAUUUAUUGGGCGUAAAGAGCUCGUAGGCGGUUCGGUAAGUCAGGUGUAAAAACUCCAGGCUCAACUUGGAGAGGCCACCUGAUACUGCCGUGACUAGAGUCCGGUAGAGGAGCACGGAAUUCCUGGUGUAGCGGUGAAAUGCGCAGAUAUCAGGAGGAACACCAGCGGCGAAGGCGGUGCUCUGGGCCGGAACUGACGCUGAGGAGCGAAAGCGUGGGGAGCGAACAGG
rnacentral:rRNA from 1 species